UGACCACUUUCAGUACAGAGAAAGUUAAGCCCAGACGGACAGGCGGGUCAAGUGCCG
rnacentral:sRNA from 1 species